rnacentral:rRNA from 1 species
GACGAACGCUGGCGGUGUGCUUAACACAUGCAAGUCGAACGAUGAACCCGGAGCUUGCUCCGGCGGAUUAGUGGCGAACGGGUGAGUAACACGUGAGUAACCUGCCCUUGACUCUGGGAUAACUGCGGGAAACUGUAGCUAAUACCGGAUACGACCCUCGGCGGCAUCGCCAGGGGGUGGAAAGAAUUUCGGUCAAGGAUGGACUCGCGACCGAUCAGCUAGUUGGUGAGGUAACGGCUCACCAAGGCGACGGCGGGUAGCCGGCCUGAGAGGGUGACCGGCCACACUGGGACUGAGACACGGCCCAGACUCCUACGGGAGGCAGCAGUGGGGAAUAUUGCACAAUGGGCGCAAGCCUGAUGCAGCAACGCCGCGUGAGGGAUGACGGCCUUCGGGUUGUAAACCUCUUUUAGUAGGGAAGAAGCGAAAGUGACGGUACCUGCAGAAAAAGCACCGGCUAACUACGUGCCAGCCGCCGCAGUAA